GAUGAACGCUGGCGGCGUGCUUAACACAUGCAAGUCGAACGGAAAGGCCCUGCGUUUGUGGGGUUCUCGAGUGGCGAACGGGUGAGUAACACGUGAGUAACCUGCCCUUGUCUUUCGGAUAACUUCAGGAAACUGGGGCUAAUACCGGAUAGGAGCUCCUGCUGCAUGGUGGGGGUUGGAAAGUUUCGGCGGUUGGGGAUGGACUGGCGGCUUAUGAGCUUGUUGGUGGGGUAGGUGCAGACCAAGGCUGUGACGGAUAGACGGCCUGGGAGGGUGGCCGGCCACAAUGCUACUACGGUAGGGCGCAGACUGGUACGGUAGGCAGCGGUGGGGAGUCUUGCGCAAUGGGCGCAAGCGGGAUACAGCAGCGCCGCGUGCGGAAUGACGGCUUUCGGGUUGAGAACAGCUUUCGCCUGUGACGCAGCGUGAGUGACGGUAAUGAGUAAAGAAGCACCGGCUAACUACGUG
rnacentral:rRNA from 1 species